CACACACACACACACACACACACACACACACACACACACACACACACACACACACACACACUGAGACUUAUAGAUAUAGAGAUGUGCGAAGCAGGUUUUUUGCACAGAGGAUGGUGUGUGCCCGGAAUGCGCUGCUGGAGGUGAUGGUUGCAGCAGAUAACACAGUGCUGUCUGUUAAGUGAGCUGGAGGCAAAAGUCUUUGUAGAACUACAGAUCUCUCAACACGACAAUGAACAUCGCAGAUUUGGGAAAUUCAGAUGUCCAGAAGCCCCCAACCAACAAACCCACAGAUUCAAAACGAACGCAGACAGAAAAUACAUAGAAUACACUGUGGACACUACUUAAAAAGACCAAUAAUUAACAAUUAAAAAUUAAAAAUUGCAAGAAUGCAUCACCCUACAGCCUAGCGGUCCGAAUUAUAAAAUCUAAUGGCUGCAGGGGUGAAGGAUCUCCUGAACCGCUCCGUUCUACAGGGCAGGGAGAGGAGCCGGUUGUUGUUCCGAGUGCUCUUUUGACUCUCCAGAAUUACAUGGGGUUUUUUCAGGAUGACCUGCACCUUGUGCCUCAUACGCCUCUCAAGCACAUCCAUCCACAUGUUUGAUUUAAUUUACAGAUAUAAUCUGAGACUUUAAUAUUAAGAACAAUUCCAAUUGUAUUUCUAUGAUUUUUUUCAAAAUAUAUCAGUUCAUAUGUUUGUAUAAAGUUUUUGCUUGUUUCAAGCACUCUCAAAGCAUCAUACACAAAUUGCGACAUGGAGUGAUUGUGUGGAAUUGUGACCACGGUUCAACAAUGUUUGAGUUCUUGAUUUCAACUGAAUAAACACGAGGAAUUCUUAAAUGGACAAAAAGGGAUUUUUCUAUCCCUUCUAAGCUUUCUGAAUACUAGUUAUGGAAUUCCACUUAAAGAGAGGUGAUAAGAAUUUGCUUGUAUAAGAAUUUCCCGAUAGUUGGGAGAAGAGGCCUAAAAGUGUAAAAUAUUUUUAAAAAACAGGGAUAAUCUAAGAUAGUUUAGCAUCCCACAGAUGGUGUUACUAUGUCAUGGGUUGAAUGAAACAUAGCAGAAUAAUAUGCAUGGAUUGGCAUAAUUUAUGUUGUAGAUGGAGUUUCUGGUACAUUGGUCAAAUUAAUCAAUUUGUGAGAAUGCCAACAGAAGUAGAAUGCUCUUGCUUUUCAAAGCAAAAUUAGCAGCAUUACUAAUGAUAAUGAAUGAUCAUUGUAUUACACCCUAUUGAUCAAUGAACUUCCUUGAAUUUCUUAAGAUAUUAUGGAGAAAAGUAUACAGAGACCUUUUCAAAAACUGUGUUUUAAAUUCAACAUGUUGAUAAAUCUCUUCAGCUUUAGCUUGUGGUCCGUGAUGUAAUCUGAACCAUCUCUGUUUCUGUCUUGUAACACACUCUGGCCUCUGUUUCAUCUAUAUUUAGUGCUGGCACUUGUUGCAUAAAUAGUACAAGCGACACCACUCAAGUAGAUUAUAAAUAAUAAACCACUUUGAUGUUCGAUGUGACAGAAUUCCCAUCAAUUAAUGGACAGUGUUGACAAAUAUGACUGGUUAGUUUUUAGUAAAAAUAAUCUAUUUGUCAAAGUGAGGCACCAUAAUUUUCUAAAACAAUUUUUCAGACUAAAAGUACCUUUCAUUGUCAUGGACAACAAUGGGCAGCAUAACUUUAUUUUGGAUGUGAAUGCAAUAGUAAAUCAAAUGAAAGGACCCUCCUCUAGGCCCACAAACUUUAGCAAGUUGAAGAAUUGUUGUCUGGAUAGUUGCAUGAUGUGCCUGAGCAAGGAUGUACUGCCUCCAGUGUUUGCCACUGGUCAAGGCGUUGGUAAGGCCAUGUUGUAGUGUUUCCCUGCUGUAGAAAAAAUGUUAAGCUGCAAAGAGUGCAGAGAAGAUUUAUGAGGACGUUGCCAGGACUUGAGGGUCUGAGCUAUAGGGAGAGGUUGGGCAGUCUAGUAUUAUUUCCUUGGAUCAGAGGAGGAUGAGAGGUGAUAUUAUAGAGGUGGAAUGACCGGAAUAGAUAAGGUAGAUGCACAGAAUCUUUUACCCAGAGUAGUGGAAUCAAGAACCAAAGGAAAUAAGUUAAAGGUGAGAGGGGAAAGAUUUAAUAGGAGUCUGAUGGACAACAUUUUCACACAGAGGUGGUGGGUAUAAGGAAUGAGCUACCCGAGGAGGGAGUUGAGGCAAAAACUGCAUUUAAAAGAUAUUUGGACAGGUACUUCGAUAGGAAAUGUUUAGUGGGAUAUGGGCCAAAGGCAGGCAAGCGGGACCAGUGUAGAUAGGGCAUCUUGGUCGGAAUGGGCAAGCUGGGCCGAAGGGCCAGUUUCCGUGCUGUAUGAUCUACAGUAUGACUCUAUAUCUUUAAUUUUUGAUUAAAAAAAAUUAUUGUACUUUUAACCUUGUGUUUUUCUUUUUUUUUUCCUUCUCAUUAGUGCUUAUAUAUCAGUUUAUUGAUGUCUGUUUGGCAUCCCAUGAACAGUUGAUUAAGUUUGAUGUAGAACAAGUUCAUUUCCAACUCCUUUCAUUGCUAUCUUUGACUGCCACACUACAUUUUUGCAUAAACACCAUUGACCCAUACUUACAAUGCACUUUGUGUCACCAGCAUUUUGUUGUCUUUAAAAAUAGUUAUGCAGAUUUAUUGAAUUGGAUACUAACUAAUUAGAGAAAUGCUUUACAUUAAAAAAUAAAAUUUGUGAUAUCCUUGUUUUUCAUACCUCGUUAUUGUGCCUUCAAAUGCCGUAUUCUGUCACAACAUUCAUGAAGUUCUCACGGUCCAGUGUACAGUUCACAUGCUGAACAGUAUAAUACUGACAAGUUAUAACACCUCCGGAUAAGUGCAACAGGAUUGUAAGAAUGUGUUCACUGCAAGGUAAUUGCCAGCUGUCAUCAUCAAAACCCAUUGCGAAGCUUAUAUAGGCAAAUAUUGCCAAAUUCUGCAAAGACCCAUGUAGAAUUUACUUUAUGUACUUCAAUAUAGUUUGCUCUUCUGUGACUGAUUGAAUCUUGGGUCUCCUUGCCGGGAGCAGUCUGAAUGUCAAUGUUCUGGGAAAGGGAAUUAUUUUGAGUUAUAACAGAAUGAGGUGAGCCUUCUGCUCUUUCUGAAUAUGCAUCAAGAAAGUUUUCUUCAAAAGCUCUUACAUGUCAUUGGAGAUCUCAAGUAAUGGUUUAUCAAUCCUAAGAAAACCUGUCUUCUGGUACACCUCACACUAUCAAAUUUGAGACAGGCUUGAGACCCUCACAUUUGCAUUUUCCUGACACAUUAAUUAGCCCCAGAAAUUGCUGAAAAAAGUACCCAAUUCAAUGUCUUGUUGUAAAGCAUUGAUUCCUGAAAAUGACCCAGAAAAUGGUUGAAUAAAAUCCGAUUUUUACUCUUGUCAGGUGUCGCAGGGAGACAAGUAUGGCUAAAAGAUAUGACAGUAGAAGGACUGAUAAGGGGCAGGCAAUAUUAAACAUGAAAAUAUAUAUUGUGACAAUUUGAAACUGAACUUCUUGUCAAACAAACUGAUGCUUUGCCAACAGAUUGACACUGGGAUCAGUGAAAGAAUGUAAGUACUUUGCCAAUUUGUCUAUCACACCUAUGGUUCCAUGAGCCUCACAGAUCACAGCACUUAUUGCAUGUGCCUCAGAUCCCAACCCCAUCUCCACAGUUUCAUUGAAAGAAGUACAGUUUACAAUGAUGGAAAUAGGAUGUUCUGGAAAUACUCAGCAGGUCACAUAAUAUAUGUGGAAAAGUGGGCAGGUGCUAUUGACCUGCAAGGGAAGGUAGACGCUCCCGCCCCCACGAGACUCGGGCAGAUGGGGCUCAUCAGCCUGGGAAGGCAGUCCAUCUAGGAGAGUGAAAACUCUGAUUUAAAACCUCCAUUGCCUUCUGGCCAUAUCCAGUAAUGGAAAAGGCUCCAGGAAUAAACCUCAAGAAAAAUCCGGAGUCUGAGCCCUUAAGGCAGUUCGUCGUUGUCUAUAACCUCGCUCUGGCAGCUCCUGCGACGGCACUGGUUCCAAACUAAUGGCCCUGCUGUUCCAUUGGAUCGAUCGGCGACGUGGAGAGGGGGGACGUGCUGCAUGGGCAACAGCCUGUCCUCCAUAUGACAUCGCCCAGGCUUGCAUCCAACCACACAUCACCUUCAAACCUACACCUACAACCUAGAGAGGACACUCCAGCUUCGUCUGCGGCGUCGACACAACACGCGGAGCAACAGUUACCGGUUAUUAGUUAUCGCGAGAUUGGUGUAAAGUGAGGCGCCAGGAGUUGCUCCCGACUGGGAGGGAUUUUUGGAUCUCACUGGACAGCUACCGCCCGCCUCAAGCUGGGCAGCCCCCAGCCAAUAAGGUGCUGUCCCGCCACGGUCUGCUAUCCUCACUGGGUGCACGGGGAUUAGGAACCAUCCGAACAGCAGAUCCCAACCUUCGCACCUACCAACAAAAGAACACAUCAAAAGAGACCAGCUCUAAAACUGGGAACUUGGAAAGUCUGGACAAUGAUGACCGGCCUUUCUGAAAACCUAUAGGACAUCAGUGAUUCCAGGAAAAUAGCUGUCAUAAAGGACGAGCUCAAGAUACUCAACGUAGACAUAGCCACCCUUCAGGAAACAAGGCUGGCAGACUCGGGCACACUGAAGGAGAAGGAGUACACGUUUUACUGGCAGGGGAAAGACUUUGACAAAUCCAGAGAGCACGGAGUAGGCUUCGCAGUAAGGAACAGCCUGCUGAACACGGUGGAACCAGGCAGUAAUGGCUCAGAGCGACUCCUGACUCUCCACCGCAACACCACCGCAGGCCCAGUCACUCUUGUCAGCUUGUAUGCCCCAACACUGUCCUCCACAUCAGAUACAAAGGACGAUUUCUAUGAGAACCUUGAAUCCAUCGUCAGCAGAUUCCUCAGCAAGGAAGAACUUGUUCUCCUGGACGACUUCAAUGCCAGAGUGGGCGCAGACCAUGAAUCGUGGUCUUCCUGCCUUGGGCAGUUUAGUGUGGGCAAAAUGAAUGAUAACGGACAGCGACUGCUUGAACUGUGCACCUACCAUGAUCCGUGCAUCGCCAAUUCGUACUUCCAGACAAAGCCCCAGCACAAGGUUUCCUGGAGGCACCCACGCUCAAAGCAUUAGCAUCAACUGGAUCGGAUCCUAUUCAGACGUGCCGCCAUCAAGAACGUUCUCCACACACGUUCCUGCCACAGUGACACAGCCCACUCCUUGGUGAGUUGCAAGAUCAGGCUGCAACCAAAGAGCUUUUACUGUACCAACAGCUGUGAGCCCCAGGCUGAGUUCGACAAUCGUUUGCCUGCUUCUGCUGCUGUUGGAGGUGAGACGUUGCGUUGCGCCAGGGUCUUGGGCCUGUCCCACUUUGGCCGUCAGUUACGCGACAGGCCGGUGGCACGCGAAGAUUUUGUUCGGUAC